CCUACGGGAGGCAGCAGUGAGGAAUAUUGGUCAAUGGACGAGAGUCUGAACCAGCCAAGUAGCGUGAAGGAUGACUGCCCUAUGGGUUGUAAACUUCUUUUAUAUGGGAAUAAAACGUUCCACGUGUGGGAUUUUGUAUGUACCAUAUGAAUAAGGCUCGGCUAACUCCGUGCCAGCAGCCGCGGUAAUACGGAGGAUCCGAGCGUUUUCCGGAUUUAUUGGGUUUAAAGGGAGCGUAGGUGGAUUGUUAAGUCAGUUGUGAAAGUUUGCGGCUCAACCGUAAAAUUGCAGUUGAAACUGGCAGUCUUGAGUACAGUAGAGGUGGGCGGAAUUCGUGGUGUAGCGGUGAAAUGCUUAGAUAUCACGAAGAACUCCGAUUGCGAAGGCAGUUCACUGGACUGCAACUGACACUGAGGCUCGAAAGUGUGGGUAUCAAACAGGAUUAGAUACCCGGGUAGUC
rnacentral:rRNA from 1 species